AAGGAGAUAACUCAGCGGUAGAGUGUCACCUUGACGUGUUGGAAGUAUCAGUUCAAGCCUGAAUAUGCUUA
rfam:Gossypium hirsutum cultivar TM-1 chromosome 11, whole genome shotgun sequence